rnacentral:rRNA from 1 species
UUGAAGUUCACGUAUGUGUUAGCUGGGUGGGAAGGAUCAUCCCAUGAUGCUAACAUUCUAACUGACAACAUUAGUCGACCUUAUGGCAUCAAUAUCCCCGAUGACAAGUUUUACCUUGGAAAUGUUGGUUAUGCAUGUCGGCCUGGUGUUCUUCCACCCUUCAAGAAAACGAGGUACCAUCUCAAUGAGUUCUUUUCCAGGAACUAUCCUAGGAGCCCACGGGGACUGUUUAAUCUCAGACGCUCUAGCCUUAGAGUGACGAUUAAAAGGCAUUUGGAGCUCUGA